GGCAAUUAUACCAAACGCUUUUCUUUUACUUUUAUUUCUUUUUCUUUUCUCUGUUCACUCUCAGAAAACAGAUACUGACUUGCGCAUGCUAUUUUUGAGUAAACCAGAAGAAAAAAAAAACCCAGAAUGAGCAAACUGACAAAGCUGAAUGAUCUCAAAUGGAAAAUUAUAGAAUGUUGGGUCAAGCGUCGAAAACAGAGUAGCAGAAACAGGGGAUCUACAAGACUUGGAGUUCCCAUAUUUUGGAAACACCCAUUUUUUGCACCAGAAUUUGGAGAAUAGCAAGCAAAAUAAAACAUCUUAUUUAGAGCAUCUCCAACCGAUGUGUUAAAAGUAUCAUAUAAAUAUUUAACGGUUAAAAAUAA